rnacentral:rRNA from 1 species
UGGGGAAUUUUGGACAAUGGGCGAAAGCCUGAUCCAGCAAUGCCGCGUGUGUGAAGAAGGCCUUCGGGUUGUAAAGCACUUUUGUCCGGAAAGAAAUCCUUGGCUCUAAUACAGUCGGGGGAUGACGGUACCGGAAGAAUAAGCACCGGCUAACUACGUGCCAGCAGCCGCGGUAAUACGUAGGGUGCAAGCGUUAAUCGGAAUUACUGGGCGUAAAGCGUGCGCAGGCGGUUUGCUAAGACCGAUGUGAAAUCCCCGGGCUCAACCUGGGAACUGCAUUGGUGACUGGCAGGCUAGAGUAUGGCAGAGGGGGGUAGAAUUCCACGUGUAGCAGUGAAAUGCGUAGAGAUGUGGAGGAAUACCGAUGGCGAAGGCAGCCCCCUGGGCCAAUACUGACGCUCAUGCACGAAAGCGUGGGGAGCAAAACAGGAUUAGAUACCCUGGUAGUCCACGCCCUAAACGAUGUCAACUAGUUGUUGGGGAUUCAUUCCUUAGUAACGUAGCUAACGCGUGAAGUUGACCGCCUGGGGAGUACGGUCGCAAGAUUAAAACUCAAAGGAAUUGACGGGGUCCCCCAUAGCUGUUUCCU